AUUGAACGCUGGCGGCAGGCCUAACACAUGCAAGUCGAGCGGAUGAGUGGAGCUUGCUCCAUGAUUCAGCGGCGGACGGGUGAGUAAUGCCUAGGAAUCUGCCUGGUAGUGGGGGACAACGUUUCGAAAGGAACGCUAAUACCGCAUACGUCCUACGGGAGAAAGCAGGGGACCUUCGGGCCUUGCGCUAUCAGAUGAGCCUAGGUCGGAUUAGCUAGUUGGUGAGGUAAAGGCUCACCAAGGCGACGAUCCGUAACUGGUCUGAGAGGAUGAUCAGUCACACUGGAACUGAGACACGGUCCAGACUCCUACGGGAGGCAGCAGUGGGGAAUAUUGGACAAUGGGCGAAAGCCUGAUCCAGCCAUGCCGCGUGUGUGAAGAAGGUCUUCGGAUUGUAAAGCACUUUAAGUUGGGAAGAAGGGCAGUAAGUUAAUAUCUUGCUGUUUUGACGUUACCGACAGAAUAAGCACCGGCUAACUUCGUGCCAGCAGCCGCCGUAACAC
rnacentral:rRNA from 1 species